UUUUGUAAUUCAAAGUGUAAAAUGGGGAUAUGCAGGAAUGGGCAAGACUUGAAUGCACAUGUUUCAUCGCCCAGGUUUGGGUAGUGCUGUCCUCAGUCUCUUGGGGCAUACUUCUUUCCGUGAUCUGGCACAAACGACCCCUCAGGGCUUAAAGACUUGCGAAUGACAGAUGAUGAAGAUUGCAUUCUUACCCAAAUACUCUUCGUGAUGGCCUGCUUUGCGGCUUUGGGGUAAGUCCCAGUUUUCCACAACCUUAAGAAAAAAAAAUGCAUAACAUAAAAGAUGUCAGAAAGACUUAUGUGUCCUGAUAUUCGUGGUCUGUGAAAUAUACAUGGGUUUGUUGCUGGGGGUGGGAGGGAUUAUGAAAUAAAAAGAAGGGGUUUGUUUCUGCAAGGAUCAAAAGUGUGCGAAAGUGUGCAUAUGUAAACGAGGCUCCCAUCAGGAAAACCACCUCUGGAAUGGAAAUGACAAAGCUUGGAACACACACAAUCAAUUAUUUUCACCAGCAUUUAAAAUACAGAAAACAAAAUCUGCUUUGGGAAUUGACUGAAUAUUUUAUUUAGCUUUUUUAUUGAGACAUCCUUUGAAAAAUGGUACAAUAUAAAUAGUUUUACAAAGCAACAAUAUAAUCAAUCUCUAAACUAGAAAAUAAAUCAAGGAUUUCAUUAGCUGCUGGUAGCCAGUUUAAAUUGUAGUCUUGCCCAUAAUGUCUAUCUAUCUAUGUAUGUCCAUGUUAUAUUAAAAACCUUUAAAUGGCUUUGUAAUAUCAGCUACAUCUAGCUAUUAUAAUAAUUAAUGGUACUGUUUUAUAAAUCAAUACAUGUAUUCUUGAUAAAUUCAUAUCCAGUUAAUGGUGUAAUUUAAAUAAAAAAUUAAUAUAAUAAAGGACAUACAGAAACAGGCAGGAAAUCUUUAAAGGUUAAGAGCCAAAUUUGUCUGAAUUCAUUUUUAACCUGUUUUGGAAAAGUUUAUAUUUAAAAUCAGCUGAGACUUACCUAGUUGCUGUAAAACUAAUCUUGCCAUUUCUGGUGGUAUCUAGUAUUAAAUUUGUAAGAUGUUUUUUGACUGUUGUUUUAAUUACAUAGUUAAAAUACUGUGGAA